UGGUCGAUCAAGAGAGGAGGGGGGCGACAGGGGUUCUCCAAAACCCUAAGUUUCACACCAAAAUCUCUUCAAUUGAAGCCCCAAAUCAGUUCCAAAUCAAGCUCUAAUCACAUAUUAGUAAACACCUCGUUGUAAGGAUCAAAAGGCAAAGAGUCCGGUUCAUCUAGCGGACAAGCCGGAGGGAGUUCACGAGGAAAAGACGCGCUCUAAAAGUUCUCAGGUACUCAAGUAAAGGAUGAAGGU